CGUGGAUAACCUGCCUCAUACAGGGGGAUAACAGUUAGAAAUGGCUGCUAAUACCGCAUAAGCGCACAGUGCUGCAUGGCACAGUGUGAAAAGCUCCGGCGGUAUGAGAUGGAUCCGCGUUUGAUUAGCUGGUUGGCGGGGUAACGGCCCACCAAGGCAACGAUCAAUAGCCGACCUGAGAGGGUGACCGGCCACAUUGGGACUGAGACACGGCCCAA
rnacentral:rRNA from 1 species